rnacentral:rRNA from 1 species
UACGUAGGAGGCGAGCGUUGUCCGGAAUUACUGGGCGUAAAGAGCGCGUAGGCGGCACGGUACGACCGGUGUGAAAGCCCCCGGCUCAACUGGGGAGGGUCACCGGUAACGGCCGAGCUACGAGUGCAGGAGAGGGAAGUGGAACUCCGGGAGUAGCGGUGAAAUGCGUAGAUAUCAAGAGGAACACCAGUGGCGAAGGCGAGUCCCUGGACAACUUCUGACGCUGAGGCACGAAAGCUAGGGGAGCAAACAGG